rnacentral:rRNA from 1 species
AUUGAACGCUGGCGGAAUGCUUUACACAUGCAAGUCGAACGGCAGCACGGGGGCAGCCCUGGUGGCGAGUGGCGAACGGGUGAGUAAUACAUCGGAACGUGCCCGGUCGUGGGGGAUAACGUAGCGAAAGUUACGCUAAUACCGCAUACGAUCUGAGGAUGAAAGCGGGGGACCUUCGGGCCUCGCGCGAUCGGAGCGGCCGAUGUCAGAUUAGGUAGUUGGUGGGGUAAAGGCCUACCAAGCCGACGAUCUGUAGCUGGUCUGAGAGGACGACCAGCCACACUGGGACUGAGACACGGCCCAGACUCCUACGGGAGGCAGCAGUGGGGAAUUUUGGACAAUGGGCGCAAGCCUGAUCCAACCAUUCCGCGUGCAGGACGAAGGCCUUCGGGUUGUAAACUGCUUUUGUACGGAACGAAAAGGCUCUGGCUAAUACCUGGGGCUCAUGACGGUACCGUAAGAAUAAGCACCGGCUAACUACGU